GAUGGGGACUUUCUUGGAUUGUGUUAAUUCCACACGAAAAAACUGGUGGAAUCCCUGCAGAGAGAGGCUAAAUGACACAACCAAGGUUGCACUGGAAAUCUAAGCCAGAUCCAUCUUUUCAAGCCCGACACCAUGAGCUUUAACCACAAAACCAUCUGCACCAUUUUCAACAAGCACAAAGCAGGUUACGUGAAGAAGACUGCCAGAGGUCUG
rnacentral:lncRNA from 12 species